AGCAUUUCACUGCCCCAGGAGAGCCAUGGGCCCCAUGUCCAAUUCAUCAAGUGCCUAAUGAGUGGCCUCGGAGGUCCCGGCCCAUCCAUCCCAGAAGCUCUCUGCCUCGUAAAGCCGUCCGCCUGGAGCACAGGAGGGAAGGGACUCGGAGGAGAGGCAGAAGAAUUUCAACAGUUACCCUGCACCCUUGCGAGAAGAUUGCAGGCUCACGGUGGAUGGAGAGAGGUAGU